UCCGAGUUGACCCCGGCAGUCUCCUGCGAGUCCCCGCCAUUACGCGCUGGCAACACAGGACAAGGGUUGCGCUCGUUGCGGGACUUAACCCAACAUCUCACGACACGAGCUGACGACAGCCAUGCACCACCUGCACACCAGCCACAAGGGAACGCCUAUCUCUAGACGCGUCUGGUGCAUGUCAAACCCAGGUAAGGUUCUUCGCGUUGCAUCGAAUUAAUCCACAUGCUCCGCCGCUUGUGCGGGCCCCCGUCAAUUCUUUUGAGUUUUAGCCUUGCGGCCGUACUCCCCAGGCGGAACACUUAACGCGUUGGCUUCGGCACAGAGGGAUUCGACUCCCCCCACACCUAGUGUUCAUCGUUUACGGCAUGGACUAC
rnacentral:misc_RNA from 1 species